AGGGGUAUAGCUCAAGUGGUAGAGUGCAUGCUUAACGUGCAUAAGGUUCUGGGUUUAUUCCCAGUAUCUCCU
rnacentral:tRNA from 1 species